UUGAGCGGGGGACAACAUUUGGAAACGAAUGCUAAUACCGCAUAACAACUUUAAACACAAGUUUUAAGUUUGAAAGAUGCAAUUGCAUCACUCAAAGAUGAUCCCGCGUUGUAUUAGCUAGUUGGUGAGGUAAAGGCUCACCAAGGCGAUGAUACAUAGCCGACCUGAGAGGGUGAUCGGCCACAUUGGGACUGAGACACGGCCCAAACUCCUACGGGAGGCAGCAGUAGGGAAUCUUCGGCAAUGGACGAAAGUCUGACCGAGCAACGCCGCGUGAGUGAAGAAGGUUUUCGGAUCGUAAAACUCUGUUGGUAGAGAAGAACGUUGGUGAGAGUGGAAAGCUCAUCAAGUGACGGUAACUACCCAGAAAGGGACGGCUAACUACGUGCCAGCAGCCGCGGUAAUACGUAGGUCCCGAGCGUUGUCCGGAUUUAUUGGGCGUAAAGCGAGCGCAGGUGGUUUAUUAAGUCUGGUGUAAAAGGCAGUGGCUCAACCAUUGUAUGCAUUGGAAACUGGUAGACUUGAGUGCAGGAGAGGAGAGUGGAAUUCCAUGUGUAGCGGUGAAAUGCGUAGAUAUAUGGAGGAACACCGGUGGCGAAAGCGGCUCUCUGGCCUGUAACUGACACUGAGGUUCGAAAGCGUGGGGAGCAAACAGGAUUAGAUACCCUGGUAGUCCACGCCGUAAACGAUGAGUGCUAGAUGUAGGGAGCUAUAAGUUCUCUGUAUCGCAGCUA
rnacentral:rRNA from 1 species